AGAGUUUGAUCCUGGCUCAGGAUGAACGCUGGCGGCGUGCCUAAUACAUGCAAGUCGAACGCAUCUUCUUCGGAAGAUGAGUGGCGAACGGGUGAGUAAUACAUAGGUAACCUGCCCCUGUGCCCGGGAUAACUUCUGGAAACGGAUGCUAAAACCGGAUAGGUAGCAGACAAGCAUUUGACUGCUAUUAAAGUGGCUUUGGCCAUGAACAUGGAUGGACCUGCGGUGCAUUAGCUAGUUGGUGAGGUAACGGCCCACCAAGGCAACAAUGCAUAGCCGGCCUGAGAGGGCGGACGGCCACAUUGGGACUGAGACACGGCCCAAACUCCUACGGGAGGCAGCAGUAGGGAAUUUUCGUCAAUGGGGGGAACCCUGAACGAGCAAUGCCGCGUGAGUGAGGAAGGUCUUCGGAUCGUAAAGCUCUGUUGUAAGAGAAAAACGGCACUCAUAGGGAAUGAUGAGUGAGUGAUGGUAUCUUACCAGAAAGUCACGGCUAACUACGUGCCAGCAGCCGCGGUAAUACGUAGGUGGCGAGCGUUAUCCGGAAUGAUUGGGCGUAAAGGGUGCGUAGGUGGCAGAUCAAGUCUGGAGUAAAAGGUAUGGGCUCAACCCGUACUUGCUCUGGAAACUGAUCAGCUAGAGAACAGAAGAGGACGGCGGAACUCCAUGUGUAGCGGUAAAAUGCGUAGAUAUAUGGAAGAACACCGGUGGCGAAGGCGGCCGUCUGGUCUGGAUACUGACACUGAAGCGCGAAAGCGUGGGGAGCAAAUAGGAUUAGAUACCCUAGUAGUCCACGCCGUAA
rnacentral:rRNA from 1 species